UUCCUCUUCAGGCAGCAGACAUGAGGAGAAGAGCGGGAGUCGAGAGACCAAUUGACCGGAGUACAUUAACCCUCAGCUCUGCACCGUUGAGUUGAAUGUUGCUGCAACAAAUAUGACUUGGCACUACUAUAGUUAUGUCCUGCCCACCUGUGAAAGAGCUGAUGGACCUCUGGCCUGCUCUUCAUAAGCCAUCUGAGGUGUUUGCAAACCAGAACUUUCCUAACACAUUCUAUGCAGAGCUGGCUCGCCACACUCCUUGUUGAAUGGCCUUAUUUAGACAGAAAGCUUCCAGAACUGGAAAGACUGCAGCUGCUUUGGCUGACAUUUUCAAAGUCCAUGAUGCACAGGAAUGACAUGAUGUCCACACAAGGUGUACCACUGUUCUCCAUGCCCUUCCUGUCUAUCUACGAAAGGAUUUUUCAGGACAUGUGUGGU